GUGCCAGCAGCCGCGGUAAGACGAACCGAGCGAACGUUGUUCGGAAUCACUGGGCUUAAAGGGCGCGUAGGCGGGUUGUCAAGUCUGGGGUGAAAUCCCGCGGCUCAACCGUGGAACUGCCUUAGAUACUGACGACCUCGAGGGAGGUAGGGGCGAGCGGAACGGGUGGUGGAGCGGUGAAAUGCGUUGAUAUCACUCGGAACUCCGGUGGCGAAAGCGGCUCGCUGGCCCUCUUCUGACGCUGAGGCGCGAAAGCUAGGGGAGCAAACGGGAUUAGAAACCCCAGUAGUCC
rnacentral:rRNA from 1 species